GCCUAGUUUUUGCUUGGUAGCGUGUCUGCCUUGUAAGCACUAGGCCGCGAGUUCGAUUCUCGCCCGGGGCG
rnacentral:tRNA from 1 species